GCUUCCUUGGCUCAGUUGGCUAGAGCGCAGGUCUCAUACCGCAAGGUAUGCAACUCUCUGAGAGUCACGAUCCUGAGGUCGCAAGUUCGAGCCUUGCAGGGAGCA